UACGUAGGGUGCAAGCGUUGUCCGGAAUUAUUGGGCGUAAAGAGCUCGUAGGCGGCUUGUCGCGUCGGCUGUGAAAACCUGGGGCUCAACCCCGGGCCUGCAGCCGAUACGGGCAUGCUGGAGUGUGGCAGGGGAGACUGGAAUUCCUGGUGUAGCGGUGGAAUGCGCAGAUAUCAGGAGGAACACCGGUGGCGAAGGCGGGUCUCUGGGCCAUUACUGACGCUGAGGAGCGAAAGCGUGGGGAGCGAACAGG
rnacentral:rRNA from 1 species